rnacentral:rRNA from 1 species
UGGGGAAUCUUGGACAAUGGGGGCAACCCUGAUCCAGCCAUGCCGCGUGAGUGAUGAAGGCCUUAGGGUCGUAAAGCUCUUUCGCCUGUGAAGAUAAUGACGGUAGCAGGUAAAGAAACCCCGGCUAACUCCGUGCCAGCAGCCGCGGUAAUACGGAGGGGGUUAGCGUUGUUCGGAAUUACUGGGCGUAAAGCGCACGUAGGCGGACCAGAAAGUUGGGGGUGAAAUCCCGGGGGCUCAACCCCGGAACUGCCUCCAAAACUAUUGGUCUAGAGUUCGAGAGAGGUGAGUGGAAUUCCAAGUGUAGAGGUGAAAUUCGUAGAUAUUUGGAGGAACACCAGUGGCGAAGGCGGCUCACUGGCUCGAUACUGACGCUGAGGUGCGAAAGUGUGGGGAGCAAACAGGAUUAGAUACCCUGGUAGUCCACACCGUAAAACGAUGAAUGCCAGUCGUCGGGUAGCAUGCUAUUCGGUGACGCAG